rnacentral:rRNA from 1 species
UUCGGGUGAGCGGCGGACGGGUGAGUAACGGAGAGAGGGCCCUUUGGUACGGAACAACUGAGGGAAACUUCAGAAAAACCGUAUGUGCCCUUCGGGGGAAAGAUUUAUCGCCAUUGGAGUAGCCCGCGUUGGAUUAGCUAGUUGGUAGGGUAAAGGCCUACCAAGGCUACGAUCCAUAGCUGGUCUGAGAGGAUGAUCAGCCACAUUGGGACUGAGACACGGCCCAAACUCCUACGGGAGGCAGCAGUAGGGAAUCUUGCGCAAUGGGCGAAAGCCUGACGCAGCCAUGCCGCGUGAAUGAUGAAGGUCUUAGGAUUGUAAAAUUCUUUCACCGGGGAAGAUAAUGACGGUACCCGGAGAAGAAGCCCCGGCUAACUUCGUGCCAGCAGCCGCGGUAAUACGAAGGGGGCUAGCGUUGCUCGGAAUUACUGGGCGUAAAGGGCGCGUAGGCGGAUACUUAAGUUAGAGGUGAAAGCCCAGGGCUCAACCCUGGAAUAGCCUUUAAUACUGGGUAUCUUGAGUUCGGGAGAGGUGAGUGGAACUCCGAGUGUAGAGGUGAAAUUCGUAGAUAUUCGGAAGAACACCAGUGGCGAAGGCGACUCACUGGCCCGAUACUGACGCUGAGGCGCGAAAGCGUGGGGAGCAAACAGGAUUAGAUACCCUGGUAGUCCACGCUGUAAAUGAUGAGUGCUAGUUGUCGGCAUGCAUGCAUGUCGGUGACGCAGCUAACGCAUUAAGCACUCCGCCUGGGGGAGUACGGUCGCAAGAUUAAAACUCCAAAGGAAUUGACCGGGGGCCCGGCACAAGCGGUGGAGCAUGUGGUUUAAUUCGAAGCAACGUCGCAGAACCUUACCACCUUUUGACUAUGCCCAGACCGCCGGAGAGAUCCGGUUUUUCCCUUCGGGGACUGGGAACACAGGUGCUGCAUGGCUGUCGUCCAGCUCGUGUCGUGAGAUAGUUGGGUUAGGUCCCGCAUCGAGCGCACCCCUCGCCCAUUAGUUGGCCAUCUUUUAGUUGGGGCACUCUAAUGGACCGCCCGGUGGUAAGCCGGGAGGAAGGUGGGGGAUGACGUCAAGUCCUCCUGGCCCUUACGGGGUGGG